rnacentral:lncRNA from 10 species
GAAGAAGGGGAAUAGGAUCUCUGUGGAAGGAGAAGAAAGUUUGAGCAAACUAUCCAAUGGGAAGCAAUGAGGUGACAAUUUCUCUUUUCUUAUUCCAUGGCUAUUUCGUGGCUAUGCACUGGCCAGGUGGUGUCAGUAAUGUAAUCCUCUGCUGUGAUUUAAUGGUAAUUUAAGGUUUCACGCUAAAUUUUCUGGUAAUGUUUGGAAAAUACAUCACUGACCGUUAGAAUGUGUUUUAAGUGACAAAACGAUCUCAUUCUCUUUUCUUUUUAGCUUUUCACCUUGGGAAGGAGGUCUCUUUACUUUUUAUUUGAAAAGGAAUUGUUUUUGUUAUUUUCCUAAACCUGGAGAGUGACGGAAGCCAUCCUUGAGGAGUCAAGAUAAACUCUACAUGUAAGCUGAACGGUCACCAGGUCACGGAAUUCCACCGGGAAUGGGAAGAGCCUCUGGAGCAGCACGCGAAGUCCUGCUAUCUGCAUUCUGUGGUUGGAGUGAGUUGGGGCUGAAGAACAAGGACGGUGUCAAGAUGGGCAUUUUUUCUGUGCAUAGCGAAUUGGGAGGCAAAGAAAACUGCUGAAAAAAAUUGACGAUGCACCUUAAGUUGAAAAGCUGACUUCCACCUCCUGGGCAACGUGGCUCGGGGUUGUGCUCAGCUAAGACAAAACUGAUGUCAACACCAGGAAUGAAGGACAAAUCUGUGGCUUAAUGAAGGUGAGUGAUAGUACCUUCUCAGAUAGGUCACUGAGUACUCCUUCAUUAAUAUCUGUGAGGACUAUUUACUCCCCAAACAAUAUGAACCAUAGCAGUACCCAUAGC